rnacentral:sRNA from 12 species
UUGACAGUCCCAGCACCACCUGCCCUCGUGAGAUACACGAGGUGGGGUCUUCGCCGCUUGCGGUCGUAUCUCGGAGCAUUGAGAUAUGGGAAGUGAAGACCUGCGGAUUAGUCCGCUUGAUGACGUGGUACGCAGGACGU